UACAGAGGUCCCAAGCGUUGUUCGGAUUCACUGGGCGUAAAGGGUGCGUAGGUGGUCGGGUAAGUCUGAUGUGAAAUCUCCGAGCCUAACUCGGAAACUGCAUCGGAUACUAUUCGGCUUGAGGGUUGGAGGGGGGACUGGAAUACUUGGUGUAGCAGUGAAAUGCGUAGAUAUCAAGUGGAACACCAGUGGCGAAGGCGAGUCCCUGGACAACUCCUGACACUGAGGCACGAAAGCUAGGGGAGCAAACGGG
rnacentral:rRNA from 1 species